rnacentral:rRNA from 1 species
UACGUAGGUGGCAAGCGUUGUCCGGAUUUAUUGGGCGUAAAGGGCGCGCAGGCGGUCCGUUUAGUCCGAGGUGAAAUCUCCCGGCUCAACUGGGAGGGGUCUUUGGAUACUGGCGGACUUGAGGUGAGCAGAGGUGAGCGGAAUUCUGGGUGUAGUGGUGAAAUGCGUAGAUAUCCAGAGGAACACCAGUGGCGAAGGCGGCUCACUGGGCUCCACCUGACGCUGAGGCGCGAAAGCGUGGGGAGCGAACCGG